UUAAGUUCAGCGGGUAUCCCUACCUGAUCCGAGGUCAACCAGAAAAAAUUUGGUCAAGGCCGAGCCGGAGAAUCGCUGUGACGCGUGCUGAAGAGCUCGCUGCAUCCAGGGUCCACGCGGGCUCUGCCAUUCUCUGAGGUUCGUUGAAGUUUAUCCCAACGAGACCCAACAACAAGCCGAGCUUGAGGGUUGAUAAUGAC
rnacentral:misc_RNA from 1 species